AAAGGUCUUCAUUACUGACGGAUAAUGUGGAGUACCACAAGGGAAUGAAGAUCUGUAAUCAAGCCGACCGUCUGGGCAGCAUCG
rnacentral:ncRNA from 2 species